CUGAUUUUUCCAGCGGCGUUUUCUAGACUUCAAGCCUAGUACUCAGAUCGAUAAAAAACUUGCUAGCAAGAUGUGCAAUAUAUUUUGCUAGCAGCAGAGUGUGAACAGAGGUGAAAACCGCAUUCCGUACGGUUACACUUCUCAGGCAGCUGUGUUAUUUUGUUUACCUUUUCUAAAAUGUGUGGAAAUUUAAUAAAAUGUUAAUAAAACAAUGAAUGCAAAAUGGAUCCAUUCAGAAGAUUAUUUUAGUGAGACUGGCGGCUCCUGCAUGAUCGGAGAAGGAGGACAAUCAACGAAAUAAGCGACGAGAACUUUGAUUAAACCCAUAUCUGCAGGAAAGAAACCAAGACUGUCGUUUUCUAUACAUUUGAGUUUUAUAAAUCAUACAUGUUUUCAUUUAUGGACACCCAUGACACGAUACCCUUGCAUAUUGCCCAGUUUGAAAAUAUGACAGACAAUUUUUUUGAUUGGUGGAGCAGCAAGGCCUUGCCGAGGAAUAUUUGCGCCCGUUGCAAAGUUGUAAAACGGAGCCUCCAAGCACCCUUCCUAUUCUUCAUUGGAUAGUUUCGAGCCCAGAUUGUCGCCAUCGCCCCUUGGCGAUGUGGAGAAGUACUUGGUCCCAAAAGGAAAACAACUUAAAACAUUUUGCUAACAGCCCAGUCGGGUCUGUGUCUUGGCAACAUGAAGAUAUUGGCGGUCAAAUAAGUUAAGC
rnacentral:lncRNA from 1 species